rnacentral:rRNA from 1 species
ACAGCAGCCGCCGCGGUAAUACGUAGGUGGCAAGCGUUGUCCGGAAUUAUUGGGCGUAAAGGGCUCGCAGGCGGUUUCUUAAGUCUGACGUGAAAGCCCCCGGCUCAACCGGGGAGGGUCAUUGGAAACUGGGAAACUUGAGUGCAGAAGAGGAGAGUGGAAUUCCACGUGUAGCGGUGAAAUGCGUAGAGAUGUGGAGGAACACCAGUGGCGAAGGCGACUCUCUGGUCUGUAACUGACGCUGAGGAGCGAAAGCGUGGGGAGCGAACAGGAUUAGAUACCCCCGUAGUCCCUGUCUCUUAUAC